AUCACAAUGAGCCAGUGGCUAGCCAACUUAUGACAAGAGCAGUACCGGCCCCAGGCUGUGGAGUGCCUUCAGGAGUGCUCCGCUGGAGUGCCCCGGUGGUCCUCCACUGGGAAACAUUCCUGUAGGCAUGGAUUCCUAGAUGAAAGGUGGACAAUAGUGGUAGGACUAAUGUCACGGCUCCAUGUGCUGCUGUGGUCAUAGAAGUGUGGACACAUUUGGGGGAGGACGGUGUGCCAACAGGUUUGAAAUCAUUUUGAAUGAAAAGGAAAAAGAACAAAAAGUAUAAAUGUGAGGCGCCUGAUUUGUCUCACAACUUAGAUCCUGCUGUCUACAAUUAGAAUUCUCAAGUUUGUAUUUGCCAUCAUUCAGUUGCAAAGAACCAUCAGAAACCCACAAAAACAACUGUACCUCAGCUAAAAAGCACCAUUUUCCUCGA